GAUGAACGCUGGCGGCGUGCCUAAUACAUGCAAGUCGAGCGAAGCGGGGACGGGGGAGUAACACGUGGAUAACCUCCUAUAAGGAUGGGGUAACUUCGGGAAACCGGUGCUAAAACCGAUACUUAUACAUGGAUCUGCUCUGCAUUAGCUAGUGGGUAAGGUAACGGCUUACCAAGGCCACGAUGCAUAGCCGACCUGAGAGGGUGAUCGGCCACACUGGAACUGAGACACGGUCCAGACUCCUACGGGAGGCAGCAGUGGGGAAUCUUCCGCAAUGGGCGAAAGCCUGACGGAGCAACGCCGCGUGAGUGAUGAAGGUCUUCGGAUCGUAAAACUCUUUUAUUAGGGAAGCGGUACCUAAUCAGAAAGCCACGGCUAACUACGUGCCAGCCGCCGCGGUAAUUC
rnacentral:rRNA from 1 species